rnacentral:lncRNA from 1 species
CAGCAGUUGUUUCAUCUGAUGAAACUUUAUUUCAGACUCUUGUUGAACUCGGUUCUGCUCUGCGAUAACUCUCUUAAGAGACUGAAGCUCGUCUUCAUCAUCAUUCUCUGUCAUCCUAUACUACGAUUUCCCCUUCGUGUCAGUCUGUUCCAUCUCUAGGAUGUUGACUUGAGCUUUUAAUAUAACUUUAUCCUUGAUGAGCUGCAAGUUUUCAUGACUGAGUUCUGCAAACUUACCAAAGAGAACUUGAUACUCAGCUACAAGAUCCGCAUCUAGAUCACUUUCUGUAUCACCGUGUGACGCAUCAGAAUCGAUGUGUGACACACACGACGCACGAAUUUCACCUUUAGUGAUGUCUUUUUCAGACCCCAUAACUCCAUGAAGAACCACAAAAUUGAGAGCAUCUUCUUUCUUUCUAGCUUUUUAUCACUCGAACUUCUCUUCAUCUUCUUUGUGUUCAGACAUGCUGAUUUUAUGUGCCCAUAACCAUUACAUUCAUUACAUUUAAU